AGUGAACGCUGGCGGCGUGCUUAACACAUGCAAGUCGAACGAGAACGGGUUAUAGCUUGCUAUAAUUGUCAGCUAAGUGGCGCACGGGUGAGUAAUGUAUAGGUAAUAUGCCUCUUACUAAGGGAUAACAAAUGGAAACGUUUGCUAAUACCUUAUACUCCUUAUUAACAGAAGUUAAUAAGGGAAAGAUUUAUUGGUAAGAGAUUAGCCUGUAUUGUAUCAGUUAGUUGGUGAGGUAAUGGCUUACCAAGACUAUGACACAUAACUGGUUUGAGAGGAUGAUCAGUCACACUGGAACUGAGACACGGUCCAGACUCCUACGGGAGGCAGCAGUGGGGAAUAUUGCACAAUGGACGAAAGUCUGAUGCAGCAACGCCGCGUGGAGGAUGACACAUUUCGGUGCGUAAACUCCUUUUAUAUAAGAAGAUAAUGACGGUAUUAUAUGAAUAAGCACCGGCUAACUCCGUGCCAGCCGCCGCGGUAA
rnacentral:rRNA from 1 species